UCUGUAGUCAAUAAUGGUAAUAAACUCUGGAUGAGAUAUAAAAAAAACAACUGUUUGAAAGUAUUGUUUGGAGAACAACCAAAAUUAGGCAAAAACUGGAGCAGAUAGGACCCUUGAAAAAAGUGAGACUAGGGGAGAUCCCCUCAGCUGGCCUUGCCCUUGUGAGCACUUCCACGUGAGACAAGAGGAACACGCUCACGCAGAAUGCUGCGGUCUGGCUGGGAUGAGGAACCCUCAGGCAGCAGUCAGAGCUCAGGGCUGCCAGUGCAACUGGAAGUGAAGGGAGGAGAUCUGGAGAGGAGGCACAGAAUGGGGAGCCCCAAAUCUAUGUACAUGCUGCCCUUAAAUGAUUGGCGGAUUUUUGAACUUGGCACGUACAGGGGAGACUCCAAGGAGCCCAGUGGAAAACGCCUGCUGGAAGGCUGAAAUGCCGAGCAGCGGAGACAGAAGGUCGGCAGCUGUCCAGGUUGGGGAG